rnacentral:rRNA from 1 species
GGGGAAUAUUGCACAAUGGAGGAAACUCUGAUGCAGCAACGCCGCGUGAGUGAUGAAGGUCUUCGGAUUGUAAAGCUCUGUCUUCUGGGACGAUAAUGACGGUACCAGAGGAGGAAGCCACGGCUAACUACGUGCCAGCAGCCGCGGUAAUACGUAGGUGGCAAGCGUUGUCCGGAUUUACUGGGCGUAAAGGAUGUGUAGGCGGAUAUUUAAGUGAGAUGUGAAAUCCCCGGGCUUAACUUGGGGGCUGCAUUUCAAACUGGAUGUCUGGAGUGCAGGAGAGGAGAACGGAAUUCCUAGUGUAGCGGUGAAAUGCGUAGAGAUUAGGAAGAAUACCAGUGGCGAAGGCGGCUCUCUGGGCUGUAACUGACGCUGAGGCGCGAAAGCGUGGGGAGCAAAC